rnacentral:rRNA from 1 species
GUCCCGAGCGUUGUCCGGAUUUAUUGGGCGUAAAGCGAGCGCAGGCGGUUUGAUAAGUCUGAAGUUAAAGGCUGUGGCUCAACCAUAGUUCGCUUUGGAAACUGUCAAACUCGAGUGCAGAAGGGGAGAGUGGAAUUCCAUGUGUAGCGGUGAAAUGCGUAGAUAUAUGGAGGAACACCGGUGGCGAAAGCGGCUCUCUGGUCUGUAACUGACGCUGAGGCUCGAAAGCGUGGGGAGCGAACAGGAUUAGAUACCCUGGUAGUCCACGCCGUAAACGAUGAGUGCUAGGUGUUGGAUCCUUUCCGGGAUUCAGUGCCGCAGCUAACGCAUUAAGCACUCCGCCUGGGGAGUACGCAC